CUCCGGUCCGCCAGGUGGCAGCACGGCGCUGCAGAGCGGGUCCCAUCUGCUGUGACGGUAUAAGAAGGAGAGGAAACUCUACCAGGAUCACUCUGAUCUGCAGAGAGAGGCGGCGACAGGACUCACCUGACCUUAACGGCUGUGGCCACGUGGACCUUCAGGGACACCGUACAGAAACCUGUAGCUGUCUUGCAAUGGAUGAUGGGACUUUUUCCCCAAGAGAAGCAGGCAGAAAUGCCAGAUGGCCACUAAAGAUGGAUACAGGGUAAACUUCUCCGUGGAGGCUCUGUCUUGUCCAGUUCCUUAAAGCCCACUGAAAUGGGUUGAAUGGUGGUGUAGGAAAUGCUGUCCAGUCAAGAUGGAAAUCUGAAAUCUCUGAGGUUGGAGGAGGCGGCUAUUCAUAAGAGAAGAAAUCUGCGAUAUUUGAAGGGUGUUACCUGAUUGGACGACAACCUUGAAGGUGCAGUCCAGUCAAACAUGAAGUCAUCUGUUGGGGGUUUUUGCCUGGUCAAGAACAAGGAGCUGCAGCAGUCAGAGUUCUCUUCACUGUCAACAUCCAUUCCAGUCACAGUUAACAAAUGUGUUCAGUGUGCAUGCUCUUGUUUUUCCUCUUUAAGCACCAUGAGAUUGUGUAAUUAACUUAAAUGUUUGAUGACUUGGGCUGAUUUUAGAGGAUUUUUUUUUUGUCCAGAAUUCAAACAUGGUGUAAGAUGUUUUCACUGACAGAAAAAUGUAAUGUUAAACUUACGAAAGUAUGAGUUUGCAUUUUUUUUAAAUGUAUUAUCAUUUGGUCUGUGUACCAUAAUGCUUGUUUUUCUUCUCAGUUGAUCAAAAAAAGUUCAAACUGGAAAGAUGAAUAAAUCCAUGGAAAAUUUUGA